CAUAUGUUGGGGCCUGAUAAUUAAGGACAUUGUAUCUGACUUUAAAUCCAAUCCAGGAUUAAGCAGGGAGCCAAUGAAGAGAACCCAAUAACACAGAAGUGGAUGUUUGCUCAGUGAAACUGUAGAUGCACACAUGCAAGUGGUCAGAACAGGACUUCAACACAGCUAAAAAUAGCAGCAGCAUUGGUAGAGCUCCAGAGGUCCACGAGGAGAUGACCUUCAACGGAGCAUCAGAACUUAUUUUUAAUCAGUUGUGCUACAACGCUUCACCAUCGCCAUUUUGAAGCUCCAGGAGAGUCCAUUUUAUUGGUUACUUUGGUAAGAAGUUAUCAUUGUCUAUGUUUUGGAAUAUUCUGUCGUUCUU
ensembl:lncRNA